rnacentral:rRNA from 1 species
ACGUAGGGGGCGAGCGUUAUUCGGAAUUACUGGGUGUAAAGGGUAUGUAGGCGGCCCUUCAAGUCGCGUGUCAAAGUCCAGUGCUCAACGCUGAGCGUGCGCGCGAUACUGACGGGCUUGAGGACUGGAGAGGUGAGCGGAAUUCCCGGUGUAGUGGUCAAAUGCGUAGAUAUCGGGAGGAACACCAGCGGCGCCGGCAGCUCACUAAACAAUUUCUGACGCUAAGAUACGAAAGCGUGGGGAGCAAACAG